AGAGUUUGAUCCUGGCUCAGAACGAACGCUGGCGGCGUGCCUAACACAUGCAAGUCGAACGGAGUGAAGGAGCUUGCUCUUUCAUUUAGUGGCGCACGGGUGAGUAACGCGUAGAUAAUCUGCCUUGGACUCUGGGAUAACAUCUCGAAAGGGGUGCUAAUACCGGAUAAGCCCACGAUGGCGUAAGUCAUUGCGGGAAAAGGGGGCCUCUGAAUAUGCUCCUGAUUCAAGAUGAGUCUGCGUACCAUUAGCUAGUUGGUAGGGUAAGAGCCUACCAAGGCGACGAUGGUUAGCUGGUCUGAGAGGAUGAUCAGCCACACUGGAACUGAGACACGGUCCAGACUCCUACGGGAGGCAGCAGUGGGGAAUUUUGCGCAAUGGGGGAAACCCUGACGCAGCAACGCCGCGUGAGUGAUGAAGGCUUUCGGGUCGUAAAGCUCUGUCUAGAGGGAAGAAAUGAUAGUCGGUUAAUACCCGGUUUUCUUGACGGUACCUCUGAAGGAAGCACCGGCUAACUCCGUGCCAGCAGCCGCGGUAUA
rnacentral:rRNA from 1 species